UACGAACCGUGCGAACGUUGUUCGGAAUCACUGGGCUUAAAGGGCGCGUAGGCGGGCUGCCAAGUCUGGGGUGAAAUCCCACGGCUCAACCGUGGAACUGCCUCAGAUACUGGCGGCCUCGAGGAGGGUAGGGGCAUGCGGAACUAUGCGUGGAGCGGUGAAAUGCGUUGAUAUGCAUAGGAACUCCGGUGGCGAAGGCGGCGUGCUGGGCCCUUUCUGACGCUGAGGCGCGAAAGCCAGGGGAGCGAACGGG
rnacentral:rRNA from 1 species